rfam:Ovis aries breed Texel chromosome 10, whole genome shotgun sequence.
ACCCUGGUAGUCCAGUUACUAAGACUUUGUAUUCCCAAUGCAGGGGGUCUGGGUUCAAUUCCUGGUCAGGGAA